CCUGGUACUCCACCGCCCCCCUGCCCGGGGAAGGGGCGGAGCUUUCCAGAAAGUUCAGGUACUUUCUACUCCGGACGUUAUCAGGUGGCUGUGUUUAUGAUCGAGGCAAGAAACUUUCAAUUAAAGCGAUAUUCAGACCCGUCUUUAAUCCAGUCCCAGACUCUACUAGAGUUUCUCCAGUGUUCAGUGAUUAUACCAGACCACACCAGCCUGAUCUAAAUUGGCAUAACAGUCAGUGCAGUCUCAGCCUUCUGGAGGAAUGCCAGCAUUUUACAGAGAGAUGGUGCCAGACCUGCAGGCUCUUGCAAUUUCUGUUUUCAUUUCCAGAUCACUAGCAUCCACAGUAGCUUAUUUAAGAAAUGAAAGAAAAGAAAUCAGCAGAAAGUACUUCAGCAAUUUUCAAAGCAAUGACCUCUGUUACCUAGAAGGUGACAUUAUCGUGAUAUGAUAUGGACUAUCGAUUUUCAAAUUCCAUCAUCUGAUUUCAGUACCUGGGUCAUCCAUGGACUGAAGUUAAUUUAAAAAGGAAAAAAAAAGUACUAACUUAAAAUGGCCACUGCAAUCAGCUGACCUCACAGGUUAGCCAACCACUGUAAAAUUAUUGAGGAAUAAGCAACAUCUUCUGAGCUGAAAUUAACAUUUUUAACAAUGGGCACUGAAACUCGUCCACCCAGUCAGCUAAGAAGAAACCCUCGUUUCCUAUUUUGAUUUAUAGCCAGAAAUCAUAAAAUCCCUACAGUACAGAUAGAAGCCAUUCAGGCCAUUGCGUUUGCAUCGACCCUCCAAAGGGCAUCCCGCAGUAUCCCUGUUACACCCCCAUUUACCAUAGUUUACCCAUGUAGCCUGCACAUCCCUGAACACUUGUAGGUUAAUUUAGCAUGGCCAAUCCACCUAACUACACAUCUUUGGACUGUGGAAGGAAACCCACAGAGACAUGAGGAGAACAUGCAAACUCCACACAUUUGCCCAAGGCGGGAAUUGAACCUGGGUCCCUGCUAACCACUGUGCUGCCCUGAUGAUUAGUUUCACAAUUAUCAAUGUUGGAAACACAAACUCAGACAUUGGACUAUACAAACAAGCUUUAUUUCAGGAAGCUACUUUUGGCAGAGCAGGGAGACGGAUUUGUGACUUCAACCAGUUGGAGAAAAUGAUCAGUUGGCCCUCAAGAAAGAAAUGUGCCUGGUGACAUAACUGAAUACAAAAGAAAUAUCUGAACAAGGAGAAUUUAAAGAACAACUGAAUUAUUCACUACUGCUGAGGUUACAAGAUAUAAAUUAAACAACAUGCCCUCAGAUUAAACUGUAUAUCUUAAGGACACUCUGAGGACUGUAUUCCUUUUGCCCUGUUUUUGAACUGGACAGGAUCCCCUUUUAACGCAGUGCUUGUGCAUGCUUGACUCCAUGUUUUUGUUAAUUUUUUCAAGGUUGGCAAAACUUUAAAUUGCUUUUUCUAUCACUGAAAAGACCCUUAUAAUAGAUUUCUUACUGAUACACCUCUCCUCACUUGGUUGUAGCUCAUGACAGGGGCAGAAGCACAGUAGCAUCAUUAUCUGCAAGUUCUCGAAGCCACACAUCCUGACUUAGAAUUGUAAUUGCUGGUUGUUCACUGGUACUGGAUCAAAAUCCUGGAACUCCCUUCUUGAUAGCACUGAUGGUAUACCUAAAGCCCAAGGACUAUAGCGUUUUAAGAAAGGGACGGGCAAUAAAUGCUAGCCUAGCACAUGAUGCUCAUAUCCCAUGAAUGAACCAAAAUAAUUUGGCAGAUGAUACACAAAAGGUGUAAAGAGGAAGCCAUUCGGCCUAUUGUACUGUAAAUGUAUUAAGCCAAAGUCCAUCCUGGGAAAUGUUUUCAAAGUUAUCUUUAUCCAUUUUAGAUUUCUUUCAAGACAACUUUUAUUUUAGGAUAGUGGGCCAGUUAAAAGCUUAUUUACUAUUUUUGCUUUGUGUUCAGUUAAAUAAACAGGUGACAAAAUUUGAAGUUGAGAAGCAUUGCGCUUUCCUGCCAAACUCCAGAUGGAUUAGGCGUGUUUCUAAAACCAGAUAGUUUACUUUGUUUGACAUUAUGGCCAUUAUGAAGAAAAGAUGCAUUUCAUCCCAGUCAAGUUCUAAAGGUCAUACUGAGGAUAAAUGGCACCAAAAUAGCAAACUGGCCCAACCAGUCCAUGUGAUAUUUAUGUUCCACUCAAGCUGCUUCCUAUCAUUCCUCAUGUAAAUCUUUUAUCAUAACCCUCUGUUGUUAUCUUCCUCAUGUGCUUAUCCUGCUUCCCCCUGAAUACACCUAUACUGUUUCCUUCACUCACUCUCUAAAGUAGUGAAUUCUAAUCUGUAGGGAAAUAAAUUUAGUCUGAAUUCUCAGUUGGAUUUAUUGGUGAUCAUGUCAUAUUCUUGGCGUCUAGUAAUGUUCCUCCCCUCGUGGAAACUUUCUAUUUCUAUUCACUCUAUCAAAAGUUUUUCAGACAAAUCAAGUAUGUCAUCCUCCAAAUUUUGCUCAAGAAAUAGGGGACACAGCUUUUCAAUAUUUUCCUGAGAUGUUUACCCACAAAUUCCUGGUACCAUCCUUGUGAAAUUUUUCUGCAUCUUGCAAUGCCUCUAUAUGCAUUUUGAAAAUUACUGAUCUAGCAUGAUGACAAGUUUAAUGCCCACUGCUGAGGUGUAUUUGGUAGAGGGCUCAUUUAGUCAGCUGGCAGGGUGAUGGGUAGGGGCUUUGCUGCCUUCCUAUUUGUACCCAUGGUAGGAAGACUGGUGAAGGAACAUGCAAAUUGUUUAAUAUGCAAUGCUGGGUUUCACCUCAAGUUUCAGUUCAAGACUACAAUCAUUAAACUGUGCUUACAAUAGAAAAUGGUGCAUAACACCAGAAUAUUAACCUGUGCUUAUUCAAGUUGUGAUGCUGACAAGUUCUACUGUAUUAAAAACAAUGAAGGCUUCUCAAUGUAUAAAUAAUUUUAAUAAAUCACAUACAUACAAAAGUAACAACUUUGCAUUACAUAACAGAAUAUUAAAUAGUUGGUCCAGCAAUGUGAUAAGUCUUAGUCCCUGGGGCAAAAAAGCAUCAGUUGCGUGUCACCUUUAAUAGCUGACAUACACUUUGUUAUGCAAUGAUUCAUUUUGAUACAUACUGCAUCAUAAAUUUUCAGCAUAGACAGAAAGGAAGGCCAGACACACUAUCCAUGUUAACAAAAUCGGCAAAAGGUAUGGUGUUUCCUCAAGAUUUUUGCUGCUGAAAUUUCUUUCAGGAACUUGAAUUGCACAUUCUUUGACCCCAAAUCUUGCUUUUUUUUCCCCCAUGCAGUCAGGGGGUGUGAUGGCCUUUACCAGAAGUCUAUUAAUGUUGGCAGAUGUGACAACUCACAUUUUUAACCCUUCUACCCCUUUAAUGAUAGCAUGCUGCUUCAUCUGUAAUCAGCCUAGUGAACACAUGCUUUAGAUACUGAAGUCCGUUAGCUACAGCUACUGGAAGGCCUACCUAGAAAGUGAUGCUGGAGUACUCAAUCGGUUGCUUGGUCAAUGUUUGCUCUACAGAAUUACCUCAAACAGAUGGCAAAUGUCACUUUAAAAACCUAUAUGCUGCUGGGAUUGAAAAGGCUGCUUGUGAUCUGUUCCCAUGCUGCCUGGAGCUUGGGAUUUGGCUGUUCUGGCCUCAUUACUUAUUAUGAUUAACCACGAGGGAGAAAUUUUUGCUCUUUAUUUAAAACAAUACCAUACCUCAAGCAUUUAUUUGCCGUGGUAUUCGGUACCUCUGCCCACACAUCACUAUGCCAGUUUCAUACAGUAAUAAACUAUUAAUAUAUUAUGAUCUGGCGGCGGAGGGGGGGGGGGGGGUUCCUGAUUUAACUGAAUGUCGAACCUUGCUUGUGCAUGGAGAUGCCUAUUUAAAUGAAAUUUUUGUCACUGCCCCUGGUCAGGGCAUGUUAUGCUGAAUUGGAUGUAAAUAGGUGAUGUCAGCAUCACAGCUGGGAUCAUGACACUGCCAACUGACGUGAAGAACACACACAAAUAUGAAUUUGUGUCAGUCUGUGAUUUGGCACAAGUUUCCAAGACAACUUUAACUGUCUAAAAUGCAAUAUAUUCUGAGUUGUACUGAAGCUUGCAAAUGAACACUAUGCAUGGUAAGGUUUAUAGUUUUAAAAGAGAUCAUUUCAAAGAAAAGAUGGGAGGAGCAGGUUCAACAAUAUUUCCAUAAUGGAGCAGUGGUAUAUUUUUAAGGGUAUAAUGUUACACAUGCAACACAAAUACAGACAUACCCCUAAACAGAACAGAAUCAAAUUAACUAAGAUGCUACAAGGAGAAGACGGAGUUCUCAAGGAUUAAUAUAAAACAUGAAGAAAUAUGCUAGAAGGAUAUUUCAGAAAGACAAGACAUUAUUUGGAAAAAAAAGCUGCAGAUGCAAACAGUAAACAGUUCUUUCAUUGUUUCAAUACCUAGAAGGUAACCAAAGAAGGGAUCAGAGCCACAAAUGACACAAACAGGUUAGGAUGAGAAGACAAUGGGACUUAAGAGAUGGGCAGCAUAAUUUGGAUGAUCUCACAUCUACUGAGGGCGCAAUGUAGGAGAUCAACCAAGAGUACAUCGGAGUACUUGAGUUUAGAGAUAACAAAGUCAUGGAUGAGAUUUCAGUAACAGAUGAGCUGAUACAGGGAUGAAGUUAUGUGAUAUUUCAGAAGUGGAAAUAUCCAGUCUUAGAGAUAGUACGAGAAUGUGAAGUCAGAGGCUCACUUCAGGAUUAAAUAUGAUGCCAAGGCUGUGGACAGACUGGUUUUAUCUCAGACUUUAGCCACAGGGGGAUUGAGUUGGUAGUUAAGGAACUGAGUUUGGGGCAGGGAUCAAAAAUAAUAACUGCAAUCUUCUCAAUAUUUAAUUGGUGGAAAUUUCUAUGCAUCCGUUACCAUAUACUGGAUAAGCAGCAAGAAUGAAACUUUAAUUUCAGAAUAGCAAAGAAAACUAGGAAUUAGAACCUAGAGUAAGUGAUAAUUGAUACAAGGAAGCCACUGGUCAUUUCUACUCAAUUGACAAGUGGCCAAAUUCUGCAGACAAAAAGGAUGAAGAAUAAGACACACAUAAUAUACCACUAUCAGUUUAAUGUUGGGUAAACUAAUAGAAUUAAUUAAUAAAGCUGAAUAUCAUUUUUACAGCAACAGAGUGAACAACAUUGCUCUUACAUAGACCAAAACAAGAGGUAGAGACAUUUAGCAUAGGAAAUUUUGAUCAUGGAGCCAAGAUUACUGAAACCAAUAACAGGGCUAAGACAGGUGGAUGCACAGGAUUCAAGAUCCAGUGAAAUGGAGAGAUUAGAGUAUGGGUAUUGUAGAAGUGGAGCAGUUGCACCCAGACAAGAUUUAAUUUCGAUGUUAUGAAUUUUAAACUGAAGGUAUUAGGAUCAUAUGAAACACACGUCGAUUGUGAGCAGAACUUGAUAUAAGAUAGAGAUUCAUCAUGGAAGGUCCCUGCUACAAACCUACUUAAACCUUGUUUUGAGGAUGAGACAUCCUAAGUGGAUUGAGGUAAGCCACAAGAAAGGCUAUCAGUUUAGCUCAAAGCUACAUGUAUUUUGGGUAAAUUUACAGAUCACAUGUUUAAACAAGUAAAUACUGGUGGAUUGCCAGGAGUACUUUCUUCUUACAAAGAAUAUUUAAUUUCCAUAUAGAAGAGUGGAGGCAAAAAUACCACAACCAUUGACAAAAACCAAACUGAACAAUGAAAUAGAUGGACUUUUGGUUCAGUCUAGUUAGAUAUAUUAAGAUAAGCUAAAUCGCUUGCAUGUUGCCUGUAAUUAUUUAAUGAUGCCAUUGAUUCAGUAUUCAAACUCAAAUCCAUUAUUUGAAUAUUUUUACAUUCCAACUCUGAGCUAUCAAGCCAGAAUCUGUCACACCAUACCUCCUGCCAUUACAACACGGAUUCAAAGACUGCAGUUGAAAAUAACUUUUAUGAAAUAGAUGUUUUAUGAAAUUUAAACACUUUCAGCACCAUAUUAGAAUUUUCAAAUAACAAAUGCAUUACCAGAAUAUGAACCUGGAAAUCUUAGAAGUCUGUAUAUUAAAGCUCUGGCCGCACGCAGAUCCUGAAAUUCAACAAAUUUUUCAAUUGAUUCAUCUGGUUACCUGUGCAUUUAAAGUGUGCCUGUUUAAGCACAAUGGAAAUACUCAGCAAUCAGCUUCAGCGCU